GAGACCGGCCAUCCGUUCUAUUGGGCCGCCUUCGUCCUCAUCGGCGACGGCGCUUCUCGGAUCCAAUAAAAAAGGGCGAGGCCUCGGCCUC
rnacentral:sRNA from 1 species